rnacentral:ncRNA from 1 species
AGAGAGCGUUGAUUUGAAAGGUUGCUGUGAUUUCUUAAUUAAAAGGAAUCAAAGGUUUUUUCAAGGAGCGAUGUCCAGUUCAUGAAAUGGGACGACAA